rnacentral:tRNA from 1 species
UGUGGCUCAGUGGCAGAGUACUUGCUUAGCAUGCAUGAGGCACUGGGUUCAAUCCCCAGCA